rnacentral:miRNA from 1 species
UAUAUAUAUAUAUGUGUGUGUGUGUGUGUGUGUGUGUCUGUGUGUGUACAUAUAUAUGUAUACACACACACACACACACACACACACACACACACACAUA